rnacentral:misc_RNA from 1 species
UUAUUACACCUCAAGUAGUCCAAGUCCAGGCAGGAUCAUCAGAUGUACAAAGAUUUGCUCAGUUUUGUUCCUCCUAAUCAAUUCAAAGGAUCUAACUCAAAACUUGGCGUUGCAAUAGAUAAAUGCUGCUGGAUAAUUAGGAUACAACAUAUCUUAGUGUAAUCCCACAUAGUCUGGAAAGGGUGGUUGUAAGCAAGCCGGAUAAUUAGGAUGAUAUAUACAAAUGGAUCAGCUAACCAGCACAUUUAUACUUGUUUAGCCAAACCAACAGAUGAGCUCUCCCCUGAUGAGAAGUUUGGUCAUCUCCAUGUUGAUGCAUAUGAAACCUUAAGAUAUCACAUCAUGUCUUUUUAUCCUCGUUUUUCAUUUUGUCCUGAUUUUAGGGGGCAGUGGAUGUUGAAUCAUCACAAAAAUGGCAUCUGAGCAUCGUAACCGAUUAUGAUGCAUGUAACUCAUGAAGACCUUCUCCAUUGCUUCUUUCCUUUCAUCUGAUUCAACUUGAAAGGACUCCAAGUUUUUCUCCGCUUUGGCGUCUCACAAAAAAGUCCAGAUGCUAGAGCUUGCUGGAGCCACAGCUCGAAUUCUUCAUCUUCAUCUGUCAUCUCAGCAUCAAAAUCCCAGGGGUACCUACUUGAAUUGGAUCUCUGGGAUGAUUUCUCUAAUCCAACCAUGUUCACAUGGAAACUCGGUCUAUGUGUAUUUGGUCUACAAGCCAUGCCCUGACAUAUGGCCCAUUCCGACACAUCAAAUAUCUUGCCUUCAGCACAAACGAAAGCACGAGGUAUCUCCGCCUUUUGUGGUCGAUUGAAAACCAAUGAUCCUUUGUAUUCUACCCAUCCAUCCCCAUCUUUGGCUUGGUGAUAUUGACAACAAUCCUGGCACCAUCUUGCCUUGACCUUUGUCCUAUUGGUGCAGAUCCAAAUGUGUGAGUUGCCACAUUUUGUGCAGUGGAUACGCCUUGACUCUUCUGAGCAGUAGUUGGAGGAUUCCUGGUUGGACGUGCUAGGUGAUUUUUGCAGUACACUCUUAGAUUCUUCCUUUCUGAGUUGCUCAUCAUAGUCUCGCUUCUUGACAGCAUCAGAAAGAACCUCAUAUCCACAUUGAAGUUUCUUAAAUGAUUCACUGGCAAGUGAACUUCCCAUGUUUUUGUCCGGGUGCACAAGCAUUGCCUUUUUACGAUAUUCUUUUUUCAACAGUAAAGUGUCAAUUUUCUUAUGCCGAGAAACCCCUAGUGCUUCAUAAUGAUCCGCACUAUCUAAUAUCCGCUUCAUCUCAAUUAUUGAACUUGCAUCUUCUCUAACUACUGGCUUAGCUGGGGGUUCUAUCUGUUUGGUUACAACUGAUGAAGUAGAAGUAGAAGCAGCGUCGCUGAAUGUUUUGCAAGCGUGAACCUUUUCAACUUUUUCAACCUUUUCAGGUUCAUCCAGAGGAACUGAUGACUCAUAAUCUGUGGAGAAGUCAUCCUCAGUAAAUGUUUCGGACUCUUUAAAAUCUUCAACAUGUGUGCCUUCACUCAAA